UUGAUAAGAACAUUGCAAUUGCAAAUAAUGCGAUAUUUUUAAAAUGUCAUAGUUGAAAAUUGAAAUUAAUAUAUCUAGUCGUAUCUCGUACUUGUUCUCGUAUUUGUUCGCGAUCACAUUUUGUUUCAUUUCAACACUAAUUCGUGAAAACAUCUCUUCGAGUUCGGUGAGUUACGACUUACAAGUUUGUUUUCUUCAGAUUUCUACAUCAUACGUACAUCAUCAACAGCAUUAAAACCGAAGAGUAACAUUGAACUUGAAUCUGUCAAGUCAAGAUUUUCCUCGUUGAAUUAAACAUAAACUGCAGUAAUUAUCACUCACCAGUUACUUAUCUGUAGCUGUACGAUGACACCCGGGCUCUGAAGAAGUAUUGUGUUUGAAAAACAUGUCAUCUCAAACACCUGUCAUCAGAUCUCCUGAAAUGACACUCGCAUGAUACCGAGCAAUUUUUGGUAUGGACGGAUCCGUAUAAUUUGCUGAAAAUGAACAAACACCUGAGAAGAAGAUUUGACAAGGUCACAGCUGUCUUAUGGAUGUAUGGUCGAACAUGAAGAACAAAAUGACAUAAUCGAAACCUUUCAUCUUUACUUCCUGAAAUGCAGAAAUCGAUGUUGCAGAUACGUAGGUAGGUACAAUGCAUGCAUCGCGCAAGCUCUACGUCAUUAACCAACACUUUAGGUACCUACGAAGAAGCUGAAGAUCCUCCCGAUGAGCACCUUCCAACCGGAAUUCCUCGAGUACCAUGAACGGCGGCGGGCGGCGGCUGCGCAACGGAGAUGUAGACAAAUUAGUCUAACUAUAGGUUCGUUUUAGGAGUGAUAUUUCGCCAAGAUGGUUGGAUUUUUAAUAGUUCAUUUGUUUUAGGUGAAAACUAGGUGAAUUGAUGUAGUUUAAGGUCGACUAACAGGUUAUUUCAUUUGAGGACGAUGCUGACGAUAACGAUUAAUGGAUUAUCUUUUCGAUGAAUGUUAGCAUUAUAGAGAAUCUCUUUCUCUCUCUCUCAUUUCUCUGUGCACUCCGUAGUAGAAACGGUUCAGUGUCAUUUGCGGAAUGCGGAAAUCCCCUUCUUUAAUAAUUAUAUUUGAGAUACUUUUUCUUACUUGUUUUAACGAGUAAUAAAACGGACGUUUGUAUGAUGUAACCGAUUAACCGUCGUGGCGCCAACGAGUUAUUAGCAUCCGCGCCUUUUUAUACUUAAUUCAACGUAUUCGACAGAAAAUAUGAUAAUUCUUGUUUUUCAUAAUUUCUAAUUUCAACUAUUAAUUGCAGAAAACGUGUGCAAAUUUGCAUCUUUAACAGCUACCUUAGGUCUUUGCUAACAAAAAGACUCGACAGAUUUGUAUCUCUGUAGCACCUACCUAUAGACCUACGUGUUUAACGGUAUCAGUGAUGGUUUUAAGUAAAAUGCCAUUUGUCUGUACCUAUCUACUAGCUGAUUAAUGCUAUAGAAUUAUUAAGUACGUAUUAUUUUAUUGGUCGUCUAACUACGAAGUGUUACCUAUUCGUUUGUUUCGUUGUUAUAAUGUGUAAUUUAGAAAAGUAUACAGUUGAUCUUAAAUGUU